AUUUCGAACCCGAACCAAAACCCCGCGGCGCAACCCUGCCCUAAUCGCAGAGACCGCUCUUUUUCUUCGGCGGCGACUGCGGCGUCUCCUCAGUGAACGACGGCUGCCUUCCUCUCCAUCGGGAAACAGCGACAGUCGGCGGUGGCGUCUUCCCCUCCCGGGAUAUAGCGUGCUACACAGUUUCUGAAGCUACUAACUACAAUAGAUAAAUAGUGGAAGGUAGUGUCAGUGCGCAUGUGUCAAAUCAAGACAUUAUUUCAGUAGUGGAGAAUUGCUUGGAUGUGAGCAUGAUAAUAAGUAAAUGAUCAAAGGUGGAUUUACGUGAGGAAUUUUAUCCGUUCAGAUUAUCAGCUGGAAGUUUUCAACUUUCUUUUGGUUGGAAGCAGAUACAGAAAAUAUAUUUAGUUUGGAUGUGCUUGAUCUGAGGUAGAAGAGGAGUUGGACUUAAGAGAGGGCAGCAAUUAGAUUAGUUUUUUUGUAUUUUUCUGCAAACAGCACACGAUACUGCUUCAAAAGAUGAUGUUUUUGUUGCAAAAAAGGCUCUUUUGCCUUUUCCCAUGUAACAAUUCCUCCAUUUAUCUUUCCUCCUAUCAACUUCGCGGCCUGUUUAACUUUUCCACAGACACAUACGAAAGUUCAGAGCACAGUUCCAACUUUAUAGUGGUCAACCCCCUUCAAUCAUGUGAACUUUCCUCAGAAAAGGCUGCAAAAACAGCCAAGUAUCACACCUGUCGUAAAAAUUCUUCAAGUCUUUCCACCGAGUUCUUUAAGCAGAACGGUUGGAGCGAUGCACAAGUCAUGAAACUUACCCAGAAGGUACCCAAGUUGCUGCGUGCUAAGGUAGAGACUACACUGAAGCCCAGGAUGAGAUCUUUGCAGGAUAUGGGAUUUUCUGAUACUGAAAUAGUUCAGUUGGUUUCAAAAUGUCCGACUAUACUUUUUCAUAAUAUCCAACCGAAUUUGAACUUCUUGAAGUCACUACUUGGUUCUAAUGAGAGGUUACUGAAAGCCUGCAGUAGGAACCGAUUUCUUCUUACUUCUAGCUUAGCUCAGAAGAUAGAGCCCAAUAUAUCUCUCUUAAGGGAAUGUGGCAUCAGUGAUGAAUGCAUAGUGCGUAUGGUGGUGUUGAAUCCGGGUUUUGUUGUUCGAAACAACAAAUUUAUUAAGGAAGUUAUGGAACAUGUUGAGGAGUUGGGUGUGCCACAUGAUUCUGGAAUGUUCCCUCAUGCACUUCUUUCUGUCUUGAACUUGAGCAGAUCUAAGUGUGAUGCUACCUUUGCAACCUUGAAGAGCUUUGGUUGGUCCCAGCCAGACAUCGUUGCCAUACUCAGGAAGAACCCAUGUGUUUGGAGACUCUCAAAGAAGAACAUAUCUGACAAAAUGAUAUUCCUGACAAAGGAAGCUGGUUGUGAGCUGCAGUAUAUCAUUCGCCAUCCUGGGAUUCUUUCAUAUAGCUUGGAGAAGAGGGUGAGACCUCGACUUGAAGUUAUAAAUUUUCUUGAGCAGAAUAAAUUGCUGGAUAAAGGACAUAGCCUUGUGUCUGUCGUGCUACUAACCGAGGGGAAGUUCAUAGACAAAUAUCUUUUCCCGUACAAGGAGAAAUUUACUGCUCUCUAUAGUUCCUAUGUUGCUGCUGUGCAGGGAAAGCACCAUGUUGUCACUGAAAAUUAGGAUUGCAAGUGCUUCCUCGAGAACAAAGUGUAAACCUAUUGCCUACUGACUGCACUAUUUAAUCAUCUUAAAUUUGUGACAAUUUAUAAUCUUCAGGAGUUUCGUCUGAGUAGAACGUCACUGUUGAUUUUGAUAUUUUA